ensembl:lncRNA
CCAAAAUCCACACAAACCAUAUAGAUAUGAACUUACAAAACUCAUACAGGAUGUGUAUGAACUCACACACACCGCCUCCAGAAGGUCUGUGUGUGGGUAUGUGGUAACAAUGGUCUGUGGGUUACUGCCGGCAGCUUUACCUCGUCAUCCACAUAAACCUUUAAUAUGAGACCUUUAAGCUGCAAUCCGGCAUCUGAAGUCACUGCACCCUGUAAUUGACCUUAAAAUACUUUCUGAAGAGGUCGGAGGCAAUGUCAUUGGCCAAAGGCCCAUGCAGUGGCUGCCCUGCCAAAGCCCAGAGGAGCCUGGGAAGGCAUCGGAGAGUAUAUUUAGUGCCCUGUCUUUUGAAUGGGAACAAGAGACGUACAAAAAAUGCCAGUUUAUGCAUAAAACCGCUCGUGUUCUCUUGGAAUUGUCCCAUAUGGAGACACGCUUUCGUUUUUCCCAGGGUGCACCACGUCUGUAGAAUGAAAUUCAUCAAACGUGGCCUUGAGUUAUCAUAAGUCAAGCCUUCAUUUCAAUAGAAGACUAUUCAUUUCUCACGGGCACUGGAGGCAAAGGAAAGAGGGGAAAAAUUCAAGAACAUCCCAAAGCAGUGCUGCAGGUUUUCCACGCUCCCCGGCGACAGUUUAAGCGGACCGGCACAUCCUUGCCCAGAUGGGCCGAAUACAGCUGUCUGCCCAUCCUUAAAGGACACAGAGUUCAACUCUAUAAUUUGGUUCAGAUGAGGUAUUGAAAGGACAAAAGAGACAGAAUAUGCCACAUCAAUCAUUUUUGAGAACAUCAGCUUGACUGAGCCUUGGCUUAACGAUUUUGUCCCCUGAGUCCCC